AUGUCUGGAGCCCUUGAUGUCCUGCAAAGGAAAAAGGAGAAUGUCCUCAAAUUCCUUGCAGUAGGAACCCACCUAGGUGGUACCAACUUUGACUUCCAAAUGGAACAGAAUACUGACUAGCAAGCUGUGCUGAAGUUUGCUGCUGCCACUGGAGCUGUUCCUGUCACUGGCCACUUCACUCCUGGAACCAUCACUAACCAGAUCCAGGCAGCCUUCUGGGAGCCAAGAUUUCUGGUGGUUACUGAUCCCAGGGGUGACCACCGGCCUCUCACAGAGAGACUUACGUUAACCUGCCUUCCAUUCCUCUGUGUAACACAGACUGCAUUAUGUGAACACUUUCAUCCCCUGCAACAACAAAGGAGCUCACUCAGUGGGUCUGAUGUGGUGGAUGCUAGCCCAGGAAGUUGUGCACAUUCAUGGCACCAUCUCCCAUAAACACUCACAGGAGGUUAUGCCUCAUCUCUUCUUCUCCAGAGAUCCAGAAGAGAUUGAAAAGGGAGAGCAGGCAGCAGCUAAGAAGACUGUGACCAAGGAGGAAUUUCAGGGUGAACUGACUGCUCCAGCUCCUGUGUUCACUGGUACUCAACCUGAGGUGGCAGACUGGUCUGAAGGCAUGCAGGUGCCCUCUGUGCCCAUCCAGCAGUUCCCUACUGAAGACUGGAGUGCUCAGCCCACCACUGAAGACUGGUCUGCAGCUCCCACUGCUCAGGCCACUGAAUGGGUAGGAACAACCACUGAGUGGUCUUAAGUUGUUCUUCCACAAACUCUUAAAAUGGAAAUUAGUUGAUGGAACAUAAGAUUUCUAAAAUUGAAAAAAAAAAUACUUUUUUUUUUCCUCUUUU